UAGAACGAUGCUAGACCCGAA
rnacentral:miRNA from 1 species